UGGUGUUUUAAGGAGUUAGUGUUUUUUCUUUUGGUGAAGAUGAAGAAGAAAAGGGUUUGGGGAUUUAAGAAUUUGGGUGUUUUAUUUAUUUUAUUUUUUCUUUUUCUUUGUUUUCUUUUUUUUCCUUGUGGUCAGUUUAGUUCUCUUGUCUAUUUCUUUUUUUUCUUUGGGCCAGCUAGGCCGUUCGGUCCAAUUUCCCUUUUUUUGGGGACAUGUUGGGCUAGUUUGUGUUUUGGGUAUUGGGGGUUUUGUGUGGAUCAUUUGGAUUGGUAUUUGGGUAUGGGUAGGUAAGUUAAGUGGGUUGGUGGGUGG
rnacentral:lncRNA from 1 species